rnacentral:rRNA from 3 species
GCCUCAGUAACGGCGAGUGAAGCGGCAACAGCUCAAAUUUGAAAUCUGGCCCCUAGGGCCCGAGUUGUAAUUUGCAGAGGAUGCUUUUGGCGAGGUGCCUUCCGAGUUCCCUGGAACGGGACGCCAUAGAGGGUGAGAGCCCCGUCUGGUUGGAUGCCGAGCCUCUGUAAAGCUCCUUCGACGAGUCGAGUAGUUUGGGAAUGCUGCUCUAAAUGGGAGGUAUAUGUCUUCUAAAGCUAAAUACCGGCCAGAGACCGAUAGCGCACAAGUAGAGUGAUCGAAAGAUGAAAAGCACUUUGAAAAGAGGGUUAAAUAGUACGUGAAAUUGUUGAAAGGGAAGCGCUCAUGACCAGACUUGGGUCCGGUGAAUCAUCCAGCGUUCUCGCUGGUGCACUUUGCCGGGCUCAGGCCAGCAUCAGUUUGCCUCGGGGGAUAAAGGCUUUGGGAAUGUGGCUCUCUCGGGAGUGUUAUAGCCCACUGCACAAUACCCUGGGGCGGACUGAGGUUCGCGCAUCUGCAAGGAUGC